CCUACGGGCGGCUGCAGUGGGGAAUAUUGGACAAUGGGCGAAAGCCUGAUCCAGCCAUGCCGCGUGUGUGAAGAAGGCCUUCGGGUUGUAAAGCACUUUCAGUGGGGAAGAAAGCCUUGGGGCUAAUACCCUCGAGGAAGGACAUCACCCACAGAAGAAGCACCGGCUAACUCCGUGCCAGCAGCCGCGGUAAUACGGAGGGUGCGAGCGUUAAUCGGAAUUACUGGGCGUAAAGCGCGCGUAGGCGGUCUGAUAAGCCGGUUGUGAAAGCCCCGGGCUCAACCUGGGAACGGCAUCCGGAACUGUCAGGCUAGAGUGCAGGAGAGGAAGGUAGAAUUCCCGGUGUAGCGGUGAAAUGCGUAGAGAUCGGGAGGAAUACCAGUGGCGAAGGCGGCCUUCUGGACUGACACUGACGCUGAGGUGCGAAAGCGUGGGUAGCAAACAGGAUUAGAACCCUUGUAGUC
rnacentral:rRNA from 1 species